AUUGAACGCUGGCGGCAGGCCUAACACAUGCAAGUCGAAGGAGGGGGGGAGGGGAGAGUAAGGUCUGGGAAACUGCAUAAGGGAGGGGGAUAAAUACUGGAAACGGUAGCUAAAACCGCAUACCAUCAGAGUUGCCCGGAUGGGAUUAGGUAGUUGGGGGGGUAACGGCUCACCAAGGCGACUAUCCCUAGCUGGUCUGAGAGGAUGACCAGCCACACGGGAACUGAGACACGGUCCAGACUCCUACGGGAGGCAGCAGUGGGGAAUAUUGCACAAUGGGCGCAAGCCUGAUGCAGCCAUGCCGCGUGUAUGAAGAAGGCCUUCGGGUUGUAAAGUACUUUCAGCGGGGAGGCGUUACCCGCAGAAGAAGCACCGGCUAACUCCGUGCCAGCAGCCGCGGUAAUUC
rnacentral:rRNA from 1 species